rnacentral:pre_miRNA from 1 species
AGGAGCAACAGCCCUAGUGGCGGGGCCAGCUCUGCAGCCCUGGAGUCAGCCCCCGCAGGAACUCCGGAGCUCUCCGUCUGCAGGGCCUGGAGGAUCGGGGCGGG